AAUCACAAAAUAUUUAGGGUUGGAAUGACUCUGGAGGCCAUCCAGUGCAGCCAGGGUCACACACCCAGCAAAUACAACUGCUGUUUGUGACAAACACACGAUUAGCAAAAUGAAGAAUAAAGAAUUGUGUCAGCUAGAGAGAGAGAGAGGGAAGAUGAAACAAGCACAGGAAUACACAGGAGGGAAAAUGAAGCAGCAAGAACAUGGUGUUCAUCAGCCACAGACCCAAAUUAGCUUGGGAAAGAGAUCUGGAAAUUAUAUUAACUACUGCAAUGAAAGCAUCAGAUCGACGAUUCUGGGUGCCACCACCUGGGGAGUGCAGAGGUGACAUCCCUCUGGCAGGAACAGGCAGCUCCUCCUCAAGCAGGUAAAAGACACCACGACUUUGCUCUUUCUGCUUCUGCAAGGAACAGGCAUUUUGCACACUGCUGGAAGACUUUUUCCCCUUUCACUCAGCACAGCUGAACAAUAGAUAAUAACAACCUUCUCCUUUUGUGUGCAUGUUCUGCUCUUUCUCAAUAGUUAAAUUUUUUAAAAAGUACAGAAAUGAAA